UACGUAGGGGGCAAGCGUUGUCCGGAUUUAUUGGGCGUAAAGAGCGUGUAGGCGGCCGUACAGGUCAGCUGUGAAAACUCGAGGCUCAACCUCGAGACGUCGGUUGAAACCGUACGGCUAGAGUCCGGAAGAGGAGAGUGGAAUUCCCGGUGUAGCGGUGAAAUGCGCAGAUAUCGGGAAGAACACCCGUGGCGAAGGCGGCAUCCUGGACCAUUACUGACGCUGAGGCGCGAAAGCUAGGGGAGCAAACGGG
rnacentral:rRNA from 1 species